UGCAGCUCAACAUCAGUUCGUGACUGUGUCAAACUUCUGCUUCUUUCCACUUCUGAAAGCAAAUCUCCAGAUGAAAGAUCUAAGAUGCGUGAGUGAAGUUUCUAGGUAUUUUCAUAAAAAAGGGAAUAAAUCUCCAACCGAGCUAAGACUACAAUAGGUGAUCAGAACCAUGGCAUUGUUUCUGGACAAUUUUUAUAAUCCUUAUCUGCAGAUCCCCCUAGAAUCUGAGUUUCUAGGGGAAAAAGAAUUGUUCUCAUCCCCAGGACCUGACACAACGUACCAUACUCAGCAUAUUAGAGGAAGCUGUUGAAAACAGAAUCUGAGAUAGAAAGGGUGUUAGAGUUUCAACUCAAAAUUCUCAACAGUUUCCCCAGCAAAUCCUCUGAGUUGACUGAAGUUGACUGCAACAACUGAGAGAAAAGAACAUGGAUAUGAUAUUACAGACAUUUGUGUGAUGGAUUAGGGAGUUACAACUGCAUCAGAAAAUUCAGUAAAAAGGCAAAUCCUCUGCAAGACAUAAAACAAUGUUUCCACUGCUUUCGCUUCGGAUUCUACCCACACAGUGACAAAGCCAAAUGAAUGCCUGCUACUGCAUAUCAAAAGUCGCUCCUGAAAGAGCUUAUUAAUAUGAGAAUCACCUCCACUGAAGAAUCACCCUUUUGGUAGCAAACUCCAGAAAGUGUGAAGUCAGCAACAGGGUCCACGGCUAAGGCAGAACAAACAGAAGCAGCAAGGGAAAGGAGCAUAAAUACUUCUGGGAAGGAGGGCUGCUGAGCCCCGGAAGGCACUCCGACCUGCAGAGGAAACAAGGGAGCCUGAACAUUGGUCUCCCUCACAAGAUGGCCUCCGGGGAAAGACCAAGACAGACUGCAUCAUGUGGCACCAAAGUACCAUGUGUCCUGCUGCUGGUCAAUGGAGUGAUUAUGAAUGGAGCUGACCAUUGGAAAUACACUGGAAACCUUUAACAGAAUAUUAUAUGGACUCAUCUUUCUAGACAGCCCUUUGUAAAAAAAAAAAAACCCUGAAAACAUUCAGGGAUUGUAGGUAACACCAUCCCUUUGAAUGUGAAGUUUUCCUUUUAAAUUCAAGAAUAAGCAAGAUUGUAUCAGUUAGGAUUGCACCUACCUUUCAGGAGCAGAAAAAAAUGACUUAAAGUCAUUUAGUGGCUUAAAGUCAUAAAGCGGCUUAAAGAUACAGGGGUUUGUUUUUUUUUCACAAAGCAAGAAAUCCAGAGACAGGUGGUCACAGGGACUUUGGGGGUUGUCACUGCAUCAUAACCUAGCUUAUCCAGCCUGAUAAAGUGAGCAAACAGGAAAUGUCAGCCAGAAGGACCGAGUGGCAAAAGUAGUCUAGAACAAGGUCAAGUAUUAGAAAUCUCUGAACCACAUUUUAAUUUUAUUAGGGGGACUGUGGGUAACGUAUCUUUUUUGGAUGGGAUGUUUUCCUUUCAAAGGUCAUUAUAAAGAAGGAUUUUCACAAGGAUUCUAUUCAGCUGCAAAAAACCAGAAAGCCUGAGUUAUGGUGACUUAUGCUUAUAGUUUAUAUUUCUCACAGAGCAAAAUGCCCAGAGGUAGGCAGCCCAGGGCUGGUGUAGCAGUUCGCUGAUGUGGUCCAGGAACCACUCUUCCCUGCUCUCUGCUCUGCCACCUUUUGUGUGGAGCUCAUGCCACGAUGGCUGCGGUGCAUGCUGGGUAUUGCAUCCACCUUCCAGGCACGAAGAUGGUGUAAGAGAAAUAAAGAAUGACUAUAGCUGUAACUUUCCCUCCUUUAUCAGGGACAAAUUUCUAUUUCGGUCUCAUAGGACAGGACCGGGACUGUGUGGACCCACCUAUGAGAAAGGGAGGAUGAGAAACAGUGUAUUGGCUUGCUCAUCUCCCAAGUAGAAGAAUGAAGGGAGAAGGGUGCUGUUUGGCUACUGUGGUCACAAGUGCCGCCUGUCACAUAUGUCUAGCCCUCUCUCCUAAGGGGAACAUGUCUGCUUGCGCUUCCUGGCACCUUUGUGGAUGGGUGGGGCCCUGUAACUAGUUCUGGCCAUUGAAUUGUGGGAAUGCUUCAAACCAGAGCAUUUUAAAUACUGAUGUGAGAUCCACCCCAACCCCCAAGCUCUCUGCUUCCUGACUUGGUGACCUGCAAUGUCUGAGAUGGUGAUUGGUCCAUCAAUCUCCUGAGUGUCCAAGAGAUGUAUACCUCCCCUGUUGACUCAUGAAGGACAGGUGGCAUGAGCAAGGAAUGUAUCUCUGUGUUUGAAGCCAUGGAGAUUUUGUGGUUGUUACAGCAGUAUAACCUACCCUAUCCUGAUGGAUUCAAUGAGUCAACUUGACAUGUUAGCCAUAAGGAACACGUUUGAGAGGCAAAAGGAGUAUCAAGCAGGUCCACCUGGCAGAGAUCUCUGAACCAAGACUGACCUCUGUGGGACGAUCUCCUGAAGCCAACUUCGUCUACUUCAAGUGCAGUUAAGUGGACUUUAAUUCAUAACGUUACAGCCGUCCUUGUACUGCCCACAGGACACGGACAAAUUGUUCCUCUCCCCUGUGUCUCUAUAUAGGUGAGUGGCUAAUGAAACAUAGCGUGUUCAAGGUAAGCCACCAAAUUUAAUAUGAACUUCCAGGAUGACCAUCCAUGAAAAUUAAAUUCAGGAUAAUGAGGGAUGGCAUAGUUUAUGACAAGCCUUGUUAAUGAUAAAGUUCCCAUCUCUGCCCUUAAUUGAAAGACAAAAAAAUGGUGGGGGGAGGUGACUAAGAGUUAAAACAUUAAUGGCCUCUUCGGUUACAUUCAGUGUCUGAUUUUAUCUCUAAAUACAGUAUUUCACAUUCUCAGCAAAGUCAAUAGGAGUGCAUUCAGUAGUAACCCCAAAGCUACCAGUAUUCAAACCACCACAAUAGAGAGCAAGUCAUAUGGGAGUGGAAAGAGAGCAGCCGUAGAAUUCAAUACAAAGGAGGCGAUUGCUUGACUAGCUGUUUCAUGUUUCGCUGUUGCUCGAAUUUCAUUUUAACGACUAUCCCUGGUAUUAUCACGGGAUGGGAGAAGCUAGCUGUAUGGAUUUAUGCCCCCCAGCAAAAUGGUGCCACAACAGAUGGUAACAAAGAAUCUUACACAACACGCUCCUGUGCUAAAAAUCACGUAACAUAACUCUGGUUAGGUUUAUCUGGCUUGAAAUGUGUGCAGAGUAGAGUACGCAGCGAAGAGAACACUAACUGGUGACAAGUGUAAGGACAGUAAACAGCGACAAGUGUAAUUACUGGUGCAGUCCCUUCUAGGCGUCAUGGUCCAGUGCUCGCUUGCAAAGGGCAAAGGCUAGUUUGGAAACAGCAAGGGAAGAACAGAAGGCCAUUGUCGCAUAAUGCUACACUACCAUGGACUUUUCAAUUGCUCAUUAAAAACAGGCACAAGAUAACUAAUCUCUUCCUUUUGUAAAAUCUGAGUAUGGACUGCUUUAUUCUCCUUGAUGUGCGUAAACCUCAUUUUUUUUUGAGGUUGUCAUCUUUGUUUGAUGUGUCCAUUUUUAAAGUAAAAAUAAACAUUACAUAUUUAGGGACAUUAAUAAUAAUGGUUAUAGUUAUAGUUCCUAUUAAAGGUUUCAAUGGCUUUCCAUUCUAUCCUAGAAAACAUAAACCCUUUAAAUCUUUGAAUCAUUUAAUUUUAUGUAUUCUGUUGGUAUUCCAUUUGGGAGUUAUGGGGUGUGAAAUAUGCACCAUGAUGAGAAAACAAUUAACCAGCACACCUGUUGUUUAUGAAUAUUACGUUCUGGAAGGGCCUGCUGGAGCUAUUAUUUUAUUCCACAGCAUGGUGUCAACCAAGGGGCUAUCAAAGGUGACCUGAUGACACCAAAUUAUAUUUUUAUGUGUAUUACAUGCCUUGUGCUUUGCCCUCAUGUCAGAAUGAUACUUGCUUCUCAAAUCAAAAUCAUGCUUGUAACCCGUAAAAACAAUCAGUGGGAUUUUCAGGUUUAACAGAAAAAUUAAAGUUCAGAUUUGCUACAGAAGAAGUAAGUAGUGAUGAAAUUAUGAGAGUAGCAGAGGCAAAUGCAAUUUAAUGAGUGCCUACUAUGUCUGGGUAAAUCACACAAUUUACAGAUUAAGAAAGGGGAAAAAAUAGGACAUCCUGGGUUUUUCAUAAAGGAGAAGAAAUGUUCUUUUUGCUACCUCCCAUUAACCAGCUGUUAGUAAGGAGUUCCACUGAGUUCAACAAACCCUUUGUAAGCAUCUGCAGCGAAGUCGGUGCUGGGCAAGGCAUGAAUGGUAAGGCAAGAGAGGAGGUGGAGGGAGAGAAAGCACAUGUAUUUUGGGGCAAACUGACACUGUGGGUACCCACUGAGCUGCUGACACUGGAAACAGGAGGAGAAGAGACUGCUUUGCAUGAGUCAGAGGAAGACCACAUAGCAAGGGCGGGAAAUGCCACGGGUGUCAGCUGUUCAGGUGGCAACAGAUGUGGAGGUACAGUCAUAAAAACCAUUGGCAACAGUUAAAACAACUGGGCAUUUACUGUGUGACAGACCUGACCCAAGUUCUUAUGUGUUAUUUCAUCCUCAUGACUUCUCUAUGGCGUGGAUAUAUUAUUAGCUCAUUUUACAGAUGAGGAAAUCGAGGCAGAAAAGGGUAAAAUACCUUGUUCAAGUUAAAAACCUAGACAGUCUGGCUCUACAGGAGUGUGUGCCCUUAACCUCUAUGCUACUCAACAAGAAGUAGUUACAAUCAUGCUAAAAGGUCCACAGCCUUCUAUACUGUCUGUGUUUUUUCAUGGCCUUGAUUUUCUUUUUACCGAUUCUUUUCUUUGAAUAAGGGCCCCUAAGACAGACAGGUCUAAAUGGAUUUCAGCUGAGUUGAUAGAUUUGCUGGAGCUGCUACCUGGGUUUUUCAAAGCUGGUACGGGCCAACAGUUGACCUGCUGGUGGUCCUCCGGGAAAGUGUAAUGGUAUGAUAGGUAAGACACUGGCUUUGAAGUCAGACUCAAGUUCAAACGCAAGCUGUGUGACCUUGUUUAUUCAUUUGUAAAACAGAGAUCAUAUUUCCCUAUUGCAUUUUCAUGAUAAGUGGAGAUACUGCAGGUGAGGCACGCGGUAAGAGGAGCCCUCACCAUAUGCCCCAUCUACUGGCACCUAGAUCUUGGGCUUUCCAGCUUCUAGAACUGUGAGAAAAUAAAUUUCUAUUGUUUAUAGAUGACCGGGUCUGUGGUAUUCUGUUCCAGCAGCAGGAAUGGGACUAAGGCAGGCACUUAAAGUGGUGUGUGGAUCAAGACAGUGCGCAAGAAAUAGUUAUUAUCAUCACGGGUCACCUCACAGUGCACAUGCGACUCUCUCAGGUGACCCCUCUAACAGCUUUCCACAGAACUAGGUGCUCAGCACAGGGCAUGGAGAGGCAGGUGGGUACUGCUGGCAUUUUCCUAUCCGGCCUUCCUUGGGAGCCCUGCCUCUGGCUAUUAGUCUAUGACAGGACUAUCACCGUGGUUUCCUGCAAUACAGUGGUGUCAUCUCAGCUGUCAGCUGGGAGACUCAGUGUCUUGCAAAGAAAAUGGGGCUGGGAUACACAGUUAACUAGCAGCCAGAGGGAAGUGCUUAUGAAUAUUCUUUUACAAUAACUAAAACUAUAACAAUGUCAGCUCGACAAACGAAGAAAAUGUCAGUCAUAUUUUACUUAUUGAAUAUUACUAAUGGGUACGAUGCAAUUAGUUUAAAUUUAUGUAAACGGCAAUGUAAACGACAUGGCCUUUGCCGUGAAAUAAAGUUUGAAUCCUAGGCUUGUUAGCUGGGUGCCUUGGGGAAAGCUUGAAGCUCCUUCGGUAUCUAGAAGAUGGGGGCAACAAUGCCCACCUCAUGGAGCUUAGGGGAAAUAAAUGAAAUAAUUUAUAAAAAGCAUCAUCCCCGUCCCACGGGAGAUACUCAAUAAGUGGUAGGUGUUAUUAUUAUUUACAACAGCGAUUUGCAAACCACAGCCUGCAGGCCAAAUCCCUGUUUGUUUGUUUGUUUUUCCAAACUUUCCAUAAUAGUUCUUAAUUUCAAAAGUAUAAGUCCAUCAUCCCAUAAUAUACUCAUUAAUAUGAGAGUAAAAUUCUUGCUUUGAUAGCCUGUACUAAAUGGGAGUUAAGAGAAGGAACAUGGAGCCAGGCUGCUGGAAUUCAAAUACAGCUCACCUUACAUGAAGGUUGUGUAACCUCAUGCAUGUUAAGUGAACUCUCUGUGUCUCAGUUUCCCUAAUUUUAAAUAGAGGAUGGUAAUCAUCAAAUCUUCCUCAGUGGACUGUGCUAAGAGUAAAAUGAUUUGACAGCUAUAAAACUUUCCAAUGUCUGACACAUCAUUGAGUACUAGCUAGGUAAGUAUUGCUGUUGUUACUAUUUAUGGUUCAGGCAACGUGGAAUGUCUGUCCUGAAAUUAUAUCUACACAGGCAAAUAAAAGGGAAGGCUAAGUAGUGCUAUCAAAAAUAGACUGUCAAAGAAAUGUAGUUAUAGUGACUUAGUGACAUCUAGAUGAAGAAAUGGACACCCAAAGAGAUAAUGUAUUUUUUUUU